rnacentral:rRNA from 1 species
GAUCCUGGCUCAGGAUAAACGCUAGCGGCAGGCUUAACACAUGCAAGUCGAGGGGUAUUGGUUUCGACCAAGAGACCGGCGCACGGGUGCGUAACGCGUAUGCAAUCUACCUUUGCAGAGGGAUAGCCCAAGAGAAAUUUGGAUUAAUACCUCAUAGUAUAGUACUUUGGCAUCAAGGAACUAUUAAAGUCACAACGGCAAAAGAUGAGCAUGCGUCCCAUUAGCUAGUUGGUAAGGUAACGGCUUACCAAGGCUACGAUGGGUAGGGGUCCUGAGAGGAGAUCCCCCACACUGGUACUGAGACACGGACCAGACUCCUACGGGAGGCAGCAGUGAGGAAUAUUGGACAAUGGGCGCAAGCCUGAUCCAGCCAUGCCGCGUGCAGGAUGACGGUCCUAUGGAUUGUAAACUGCUUUUAUACAGGAAGAAACACUCCGACGUGUCGGAGCUUGACGGUACUGUAAGAAUAAGGAUCGGCUAACUCCGUA